CGGCCACCCUCUGGGAGAUCCCCUGCUUCCCGCUAAGUGGGCAGUGGGAGCCAACUCUUCGGGCAUCUUUGCGGGAAAUCCACCAUCGGUACGCCAUGCGCAAGGCUCCAGCUGUUGGAGAACAGCAGCCCCCUCCUUGUGCUCCACCGGGCCCCUCUCUGUCCUGGCUGCCGGUGCCUCCGACUCCUGUCUCGUUGCUGUUGGGAAGAUCAUACGUGGGCUGGUUGUGGCGUGCACAGCACUUGCCCGACCCUGACGUCGGGCACCUCAUCUCCACGAAGCCCUCUCUCAGCCUGACCACCUCUC
rnacentral:lncRNA from 1 species